CCUGAGAAACCCAAAAGAUCGAAUGGGAGAUUCAUCGUCAGCGUGGCUGGCUCCGUGCGGUUCGCGAUGACCGGGACUUCGGUCUCGAGUCACGCGUCUGCUGCGGUAUGUCUGGCUACGUCGGCGUGCACUUCUCCCCUAGUAGGACGUCGCGACCCGUUGGGUGUCGGACCGAUGGCCGUUCGGUCGCCUGUCUUGUCGCGUUCACGCGUGCACGAGGCAGACCGAAAUGGUCGAGCGUCCGGCUGCCCGGCGGUAUAGAACGCUAUUGAACGGUAAUGGGCCGCAUUAAGUGCGUUCAGGCUCGUCGGCAGGCUCGUCUCGCCCGGAUUUACGGACCUAGCGCCGUUGCCGGGUGCUUGGCGGGCUGUUAGUCGACGAUGUCCUCGAACUGGCUCUAAAAUUCGAAAGGAUUACCGGUCGGCGACGCUACUGCUUUGGGUACUUUCAGGACCCGUC
rnacentral:rRNA from 1 species